rnacentral:rRNA from 1 species
GAUGAACCGCGUAGGCUACAGGCUUAACGACAUGCAAGUCGAGGGGCGAGCGGGAUUAGGAAGCUUGCUUCAAUUGCCGGCGACCGGCGCACGGGUGAGUAACGCGUAUCCAACCUUCCGCUUACUCGGGGAUAGCCUUUCGAAAGAAAGAUUAAUACCCGAUGGUAUCUUAAGCACGCAUGAGAUUAAGAUUAAAGAUUUAUCGGUAAGCGAUGGGGAUGCGUUCCAUUAGGCAGUUGGCGGGGUAACGGCCCACCAAACCUACGAUGGAUAGGGGUUCUGAGAGGAAGGUCCCCCACAUUGGAACUGAGACACGGUCCAA